GACGAACCGAGCGAACGUUGUUCGGAAUCACUGGGCUUAAAGGGCGCGUAGGCGGGCUGUCAAGUCCGGGGUGAAAUCUUUCGGCUUAACCGGAAAAGUGCCUUGUAUACUGAUGGUCUCGAGGGAGGUAGGGGCAGCUGGAACUUCCGGUGGAGCGGUGAAAUGCGUUGAUAUCGGAAGGAACUCCGGUGGCGAAAGCGAGCUGCUGGACCUCUUCUGACGCUGAGGCGCGAAAGCUACGGGAGCAAGCGGG
rnacentral:rRNA from 1 species